UUAAAUGGCAGCCCAGUGACCCAGGCUGGCUCAGCAGACUUGUUUGGUUUAGCCAACCGUGUUUUAAAUGCUUGAUGCAACAUUUUUAAGUUGGGAGAGUUCACAUAAAAAUGCAGAUUUGGGGGGCUCUCUUGGAAUAGAUGUGGCAAUACUGGACCUGCCUUUCCCACACAGCACUUCACUGCCUGAAGCUGUGACAGCUGCCUGCUUUAGAUGCACCACGUUCCACCCAGUCUGCCACCCCCCCACCCCCGCACUGCCAGCAGGUGCAGAUGUGGGCACCUGUAGCCCGGAUGACAGGGCCUGGGAUCUGACUGGCUCCUGAAGGAACCUGUGACCUCAAAAUACAUGAACACCCACCCGAGGGCGAUGCUCAUCCCAUCGUUUACUCCGAUUUUUAGCAACCUGGUGAGAUGAGAAUUGUUUCCAUCUUCUAAGAGGAUGCAAGGAGGUGUCCCAUGAACCCCUAGGAUCUCAGCAGGAAUUCAAACCCAAGUCGACCUGCCUGGAAGCCUGGGCUUUUGUUCUUAGCCAGACUGUCUCCACUGCCACUGACUGCCAAGCUCUCCUUGUGUCUGAAGGACGUUGUGACUUCCUUGUUACGUCACCCACUCAGUCACAGUUGGGCUGAGAGCAGAGUGUGGCCCGGCCCCCCAGGUCCCCAGGGCAGCCCUGCCAGCCCGGCACAGGCAGGCCCGGCUUAGUCACACACACACCAUGAAGUACCCGCUGGUGCCACUGGUGGACGACCUCACGUUUUCUUUCCUGGUGUUCUGGCUCUGCCUGCCCGUGGGCUUGCUGUUGGUCUUGCUGAUCGUCUGGCUACGCUUCUUACUUAGCCAAGAAUAACCCUGCGAAGUAAUCCUUAUCGUACAAUUGAGGAAACUGAGGCUUGGGGAGAGAAGCAACGUGCCCAGGUCACACACCUGUGAAGUACUUACGAGUGCCGGUUAUCUGGCGUCACCUCCUGCCUCUGCUGCCUACCAGCUCUGUGACUUGGGGCAAGUCCUCUCAGCCUUGGGUUCCUCAUCGACAGAAUGGAGAUAAUAAGGGCCCCUUCCAUUUGGGGCUGUGGAGAGAGCAUGUCGCGGGUAGGGCAUCCAGUGCAUGUACACACGUGGCACAUAGUAGGUGCUUAUAGGCUGAGAAAUUAUCCAGUCAGUGUUUACUUUUCAUCAUGGUAGGAGGACAUAUAGGCAUGGCUUUGGAUGGCUUCUCCGAGGAGACACCUUACCUAAGGUCUAGGGUACUAAUCUCCAGCACUCCAUUCUCCUUGAAGGCCCUGCUCUAAAACCAUCCACAGCCUUCCCUGUCCUCAGACUUUCUCCGACAUCUCACACGGCCCCUUGCAAUAAGGCCUUUGGUCAUUUGCAAUGACCAGAAUGUGGGGCGAGCAGUCUUCCCUCAGGGUCCCAGUCUUCUUGGAACUCUUAGAGUUACUGCAUCGGUCCUGUCCUUGUGCCAGGGUCUGGGCCUGCCAAGAAUUGAGGGACCUGUUCUCAGGACACCCUGGCCUGUGCUCUUCUAUUCUGCUGUGGAUCUUGUUAUUGGAACUCGUUUGGCCUGGAAUCCGGUGUGAAAAGCAGACAGGACUGGCUCUGAUUCCUCCUUCCCACCCCCAUCCGGCCUGGCUCAGCAGGGCAGUGCCAGGGCCCAGAAGGCAGACGGUUUGAGCAGGGAGUGCCACGUGGCCCGUGAGGACGUGCCUUCUCAAGUAGACUGGGGAGCAAGGGGAGGAGAAGGGAACCGCCUGGCAAGAUGGCCGUUGAGGCGAGAAAAGGUUGUGGGUGGCUGAGCCCUGCAGAAGCUGGCCAGUGGGGACCACACUAAUCCUGGACCAUGACAUUAAGAGAGAGGAUGAAGCCACAUGGUGCCCUUCAAGCGGAAGGUGCUCUGCUGAGGACGUUUCCUUUGUGAUUGGAAAGGACUUUGCAGAAGGAAGAAGAGAAACCUCCAAAGAGAUGGAUUUAAGGCCGAAAUGCGCCUUUUGAGGGUCCUGCCCACCCUCGUGGUGGUCCUCGGAGCGAGGUGUUAAAUCCAAAGCUACCUUUGAAUUCCCUGACCUCAAACAAGUGCACCUGCUGAAACUGCGGAGGGCUCUCUUCAGCCUCCUUUACUUUUCUGCAACCAGCGAAACAUCUUACAAGUACAGGAAGAGAAAGAACCUCCCCCAUCUCCUCUCCUUUCUCCUCGACCUCACCUUCUCGAGACAAGCCGUGUUCACAAGCUCAUGCUCCUAUUUAAUAACACACGUAGGUUUUCCAAAAAAUUGGAGAGGGGGCAGGAUUGUUAGCUUGGUUUUCAGAAAAAGGGAGGAGAUCCUCCUAUAUACAUUUCUCUGAAACUUGCUUGUAAUGUAUCAUAGACCUCCUGCAAGUCGAAAGCUACAGAUUUCAUGCAAUUGUUUUAACAGCUUCUGACUUGCUGUUGGAUAGAUGGGCCAGCUCUUUAUGUGGUGCAAUGUGCUACACUUCAGUCAACCAGAUCUCUCAUGAUGGACACACACACAGUUUCCAGGGUGUUUUAUUGCUUGUGCAUGCUUCACCACAAAACAGUGCUGCAGUGGAAAUCAUUGCAUGUAUACACUCAGAUAUUUGUUAAUAAAUGGACUGGUGGACAAAUGGAUGGAUGGGUCAUUGUUGGAUUUGUGUCUCCUCAGUGCCGUUCUUGGACCACACCCAAUACAGAUUCAGAGGAAGACAACUCAGAUUUAUGCUUUGAGUGGGAGCCCUGGAGCAAAGGCCCAGCCCAGUUUUGCUGGGAGGGGACACUGUAUAGCCAAGAGGAGGAAGAGCCCUGCUGGU